GGAAUCUUCCACAAUGGACGCAAGUCUGAUGGAGCAACGCCGCGUGAGUGAAGAAGGGUUUCGGCUCGUAAAACUCUGUUGUUAAAGAAGAACGUGGGUAAGAGUAACUGUUUACCCAGUGACGGUAUUUAACCAGAAAGCCACGGCUAACUACGUGCCAG
rnacentral:rRNA from 1 species